UCCAAUGCUAACGCUUGUUAACUCUGUACAGUGAGUUUAAUUUUUUGACCAUAGAUUGUUAUAUUAUAAUUUGAUUGGUAUAUGAUAUGCCUAUGGUUUGUGUUUAUUGCUUUUCUGUUAUCAGCAGUUUGAUCUUGUGAUAUUUAAGGAGUGAUGGGGUUUUUUGUUUUUUUGGUUCUGCAAGCUUGUGUCGAUUUGAAACUUGCGAGCUCUCUGCUAGAUUUUGAAUGCCAUUUUAAUGAAGUCCUUGAGAAGAAGAUGCGAUGAGUUUAGUUGUUUUGUUACGUAGAUUGAUAUAACCCCAAUUACAAUCUGUUCAUUGAAUAGUUGAAUGUUACAAACAAUGCUUAUGACACUAGCCUUAUAAAUUGGAAAUGAUACUUUUGAAAUCUUUGUCAGUUUAUGGUAUACAAUCAAGAUAUUAUAUACUAA